UAAUCCCAAACUCAGCUUUCGAUGGAGGAGAAAAGAAGGAGUAUACACUGUUCUCUCUCUGUCAGGCUAGAAAGAGUGACUGGAGAUUCAGUUCAAGCCACAGGACCCGUCUUGAUGCCAGCCACAUGUCCGGCCUUAUGUGAGGUGCCACAAGGAAUGUAAAGAGGGAUGAAACGGGUCCUGUACGCAUGGAGUCUAUGCUCCAGUGAGGGAGAUCAAUAAUCCAGUCAAGGUGGCACAGCUUCUCCAGUUGUAAUAUGGACGUGUGGGCAGGGUGUACUAGGUGAGCUCCAAGAACCCCAGUCCUGCUCGGCCUCUUGCCUGUGCUUAUCCUUGUUGACAGUGUGAACAAAGAGAGACUAAAACCACAGCUGGAUCCACGAAGGCAAACCUUUGCCCACGAUUUGCCACACUCACGAAAUCCUGCUUGACUGAAGUAAGAAAAUUUCUGAGAGAAAGUUCAAGUUUUGAAACUGCUAAUGCCUUCCUGUGAUGGCUGCUAUGCCUGAAAGAGAAUGAAGCCUCGCUCAAAAGAGACUGAGCCUUUCAUACAAUUAAUCAGCCACAUCUCUGUGCCGUAUGUUGCAAUGUCUACUUUCCAGAGGAAAGAUUAUUCUCAAACCACAUAAAUGAUGAUGCUUUUGGAAAAAAAAAGAAAAGAAAAGAAAACCCACCUCUCUUAAAUGAUAUGAACUUGCCUAUUGUUUUUAUUUCCCACCCACAGUCUUGAUGCCUAUAAUCUCUAAAAUCAUUUCAGUUUCCAAAAAUCAUUUGAAACACUCCUACACUCGGGGCUUUUGAUAAACAGUC